rnacentral:rRNA from 1 species
AUGAUUACAAUGUUGGAAACAAUAUUGAAAGCUCUAGCUAUGAUUUUUAUAUAUACCAAAGUUAAAGAAUGGAUAAUGUUAUAGCGUGUAAUAGCGCAAAUAUAUAUACAACUUUCAGCAACGGAUCUCUUGGCUCUCGCAUCGAUGAAGAACGCAGCGAAAUGCGAUAAGUAAUGUGAAUUGCAGAAUUCAGUGAAUCAUCGAAUUUUUGAACGCACCUUGCGCUCCUUGGUAUUCCGAGGAGCAUGCCUGUUUGAGUGUCAUGAAAUUCUCAACUACCUUCUUUAACAUUUUAUGUGUUAAGGGUGAAGUUGGAGUUGGAGGAUAAUUGCUGGCGCAACUCUCUCUGUAAGGUUGCUUGUUGGCUCCUCUUGAAUGGAUGAGCUUUUCUAAUGGAUCAUAGCUCAGUAACACUAAUGUGAUAACUAUCUACGUUAGAUGUGAAAGCUAUGAGUAGAGCGGACUUUGGAAWCUCCCUAUAGAAAAGAAUAUGGGGAUAACAAACCCUUAACUUUGACAAAUCUGACCUCAAAUCAGGUAGGACUACCCG